rnacentral:rRNA from 1 species
GACGAACGCUGGCGGCGUGCCUAACACAUGCAAGUCGAGCGGGGAUGUAUGGAGGAAGUUUUCGGAUGGAAUCGAUACAUUCUAGCGGCGGACGGGUGAGUAACGCGUGAGCAACCUGCCUUUCACAGGGGGAUAACGGAUCGAAAGAUUCACUAAUACCGCAUGAGACCACGAUACCGAGUGGUAUAGGGGUCAAAGGAGCAAUCCGGUGAAAGAUGGGCUCGCGUCCGAUUAGGUAGUUGGUGGGGUAACGGCUCAACAAGCCAAUGAUCGGUAGCCGACCUGAGAGGGUGAUCGGCCACACUGGAACUGAGAGACGGUCCAGACUCCUACGGGAGGCAGCAGUGGGGAAUAUUGGGCAAUGGGGGAAACCCUGACCCAGCAACGCCGCGUGAGGGAAGAAGGUUUUCGGAUUGUAAACCUCUGUCCUUGGUGAAGAGCAGAAGACGGUAGCCAAGGAGGAAGCCCCGGCUAACUACGUGCCAGCCGCCGCAGUAA